GACGAACGCUGGCGGCGUGCUUAACACAUGCAAGUCGAACGAAGUGGCGCACGGGUGAGUAACGCGUAAUCAACCUGCCCUUCAGAGGGGGACAACAGUUGGAAACGACUGCUAAUACAUCAUACUGAAGGAGGGGUUUGCGUCUGCUUCGCUAGUUGGAGGGGUAACGGCCCACCAAGGAGAUGCUCAGUAGCCGUGCUGGGAGGGUGAACGGGCACAUUGUGACAGUGACACGGCCCAGACUCCUACGGGGGUCAACAGUGGGGAAUCUUCCGCAAUGGACGGAAGUCGGACGGAGCAACGCCGCGGGGGUGAUGACGGCCUUCGGGUUUGAAAGCUCUGUUAAUCGGGACGCGUUACCGGAAUAGAAAGCCACGGCUAACUACGUGCCAGCAGCCGCGGUAAUUC
rnacentral:rRNA from 1 species